ACGGAUUUGGGGGAUGGGGACAGCUGCGAGCCUCAGUGUGAAUGACACCCUCCCUCUCUAGGAGCUGAGAGUGGCGCUCUUCGCGCCACUGGUGCACCUGGCCGAGCGCGAGCUGGGCGCGCGCCGCGACUUCUCCAGCGUGCCCGCCAGCUACUGGUGGGCCGUCAUCUCCAUGACCACCGUGGGCUACGGCGACAUGGUCCCGCGCAGCCUGCCCGGGCAGGUGGUGGCGCUCAGCAGCAUCCUCAGCGGCAUUCUGCUCAUGGCCUUCCCGGUCACCUCCAUCUUCCACACCUUUUCACGCUCCUACUCCGAGCUCAAG
rnacentral:lncRNA from 1 species